rnacentral:rRNA from 1 species
CCUACGGGUGGCUGCAGUGGGGAAUAUUGGACAAUGGGGGCAACCCUGAUCCAGCCAUGCCGCGUGUGUGAAGAAGGCCCUCGGGUUGUAAAGCACUUUCAGUGAGGAAGAACGCCUGGUGGUUAAUACCCAUCAGGAAAGACAUCACUCACAGAAGAAGCACCGGCUAACUCCGUGCCAGCAGCCGCGGUAAUACGGAGGGUGCGAGCGUUAAUCGGAAUUAAUGGGCGUAAAGCGCGCGUAGGUGGCUUGAUAAGCCGGUUGGUGAAACCGCGGGCUCAACCUGGGAACGGCAUCCGGAACUGUCAAGCUAGAGUGCAGGAGAGGAAGGUAGAAUUCCCGGUGUAGCGGUGAAAUGCGUAGAGAUCGGGAGGAAUACCAGUGGCGAAGGCGGCCUUCUGGACUGACACUGACGCUGAGGUGCGAAAGCGUGGGUAGCAAACAGGAUUAGAUACCCUGGUAGUC